rnacentral:rRNA from 1 species
GAUGAACGCUGGCGGCGUGCCUAAUACAUGCAAGUCGAGCGAACAGACGAGGAGCUUGCUCCUCUGAUGUUAGCGGCGGACGGGUGAGUAACACGUGGAUAACCUACCUAUAAGACUGGGAUAACUUCGGGAAACCGGAGCUAAUACCGGAUAACAUGUUGAACCGCAUGGUUCAACAGUGAAAGACGGUCUUGCUGUCACUUAUAGAUGGAUCCGCGCCGCAUUAGCUAAUUGGUAAGGUAACGGCUUACCAAGGCAACGAUGCGUAGCCGACCUGAGAGGGUGAUCGGCCACACUGGAACUGAGACACGGUCCAGACUCCUACGGGAGGCAGCAGUAGGGAAUCUUCCGCAAAGGGCGAAAGCCUGACGGAGCAACGCCGCGUGAGUGAAGAAGGUCUUCGGAUCGUAAAACUCUGUUAUUAGGGAAGAACAAAUGUGUAAGUAACUAUGCACGUCUUGACGGUACCUAAUCAGAAAGCCACGGCUAACUACGUG